rnacentral:lncRNA from 1 species
CCAGGAUGAUCAAUUGGCGGUAGAGCCGUCAAGCUUACGGUGACUGGCUAUGAUGAUCUUCAUGAUUUGUCAGAGAGAGAGAGAGAGAGAGAGAGAGUUGUUGUAGUUUAGGUGGGGUUGGAAUGGUGGUGAGGGUGGCUAUGGUUUUGGGGUUGGAGUGGUGGUGGUGAUGGUGGCUGGGUUUGGGAGGUGGUUGAGGUGUGUGCGCGAAUUGGGGAAGGUGAAAUUUAAAAGGAAUAUAUUCCAUUUUCAAUUUGAAUUAAAAAUUUUAUCAUCAAUUACAUUUUUUAAAAAAUUAAUUUUAUAUUUUUAAAGGAAUGGACCACAUUGACUAACAUAUACAAACACAAGGACCAAAUUGGCCAAAUUGAUAACACGGGGACUAAAUUGGCCUAUGAGAUAAAACACAAGGACCAUUUUAACAUUUAAGCCUUUUCAUUUUAAGAGAAUAAAAAUAGACAGAAAACCUGUUCGAUGGGCAAAAACAGAAAACACAAAGAAUAUUUUAUGAAAACAAAAACAAUUUCAUGUUUACUUGUAGAAAACAGAAAAAAGCUGUUUUCAUUCUCACAGCAAACAACACUGAAAACACGUUGCUUUUCUCCCCAUCAGACCAAAACCACAGUCAAACACUGCCAACAUAGAAUCACACGCAGAGCUUGAACCACCAACAUCACCCCAAUCAAAAUCACCACUGCCCCAUCCAACUAGAUUGUCACCGCCACUCAAUCGAACUGAACAAAAUCUUUACGCAAUUGAAUUGAACCACCAUUAUUGAACAACUAAUUGCCGAACCAAUUUUCAAUCCAAGAAAAGGAAAGGGAGCUAGGAAGCUAUUGGAAGGUGAGGUUGCAGUGAGAGAGAGAUAGAGAGAGGGUGCAGCCGCAUGAAGAGAAAGUGGAAAAGAAGGGGGUUGGCCUGGUUCUUCAAUUGGGGAGAGAGAGAGAGAGAGAGAGAGAGAGAGGAAUGAUAGAAUUGGGGUGGGUUUACAGAGAGUGAAAGCGAAGGUCAGGUUGAGGUUUCAAUUUUUUUUUAAAAGAUAAUUUUAGUUUUAUACUAUAGAAUUUUUUUCUAUUUUUUUUCUAUUUUUUAAAUGAUAUUCUUUAAGAUGCUUAAAAAAUAUUUUUUAAAAAUAAUAUACAUACUUUUUUUUUAAACUCACAUAUUGAUUACAUAAUGUUGUAUUAAAAAAUAAUAAUGCAUUUUAAUUAAAGUUACAUAUAUCUUCACUGUUUU